UUAUUUUAGUUUCCAAACUCUCCCACUCUCUGGUAAAAAUAAAAGAAGAGGAUGUCAUGUAAAAUCUAAGGGCACUUGAACUUGUUAUGGGUCUUGAUCUGUGAGUAGCAAUGGCAGGAAUCUCGGCUAGCUCUAGGACCAUCAGGCACACAGUGAUCGGGACACCUGUGGCAGCAGGCUAUGCAUGUUUUAUUGCACAUCUUUGGCUUCCAUGAAAGGCUGCACCGCUUUGCACACUUGUUCGGGCAUGCGUCUGGAAUUGCAUAUAUUUAUUUAUUAGCUAAAGAAAACAAAGAUGGAAAAGGCAUAGUAUUUAAUAACAUCAACAUUGAUAUUCUUACCCUGGGGGCCUGGGGCUUGUGCUGCAGAAAGUUGAGCCAUCAGCAUUCCCACCUCACACAGUAGCACAAGGCAAAGAAGUAAUGAAAGUAAUGGUGUGGAAGUCCUGCUGCUCGCCAUUUUCUACUUUCUUAAGAGAUAGAGAUUAUAUUAGAAUAAGAGAAGAGAGUGUUUGGUG
rnacentral:lncRNA from 1 species